GUAGCUGCUGACUGCUAUGGGAGGAUAGCAUGGUGCCUGCCAGGGAGCCUGUGAGUGGGAUGCUGUUAAAGAAUGCCGUGGAGAAGUCCCUGUUGUCAAGCAAGAACAAAAAUCAGAUGCCAUAUCAGAUAAGGUCUAAGUUGCCCAGGCUAUCUCAAACUCCUGGACUCAGGUGAUCCUACUGCCUCUGCUUCCUGAAUAGCUGAGAUCAGCAGCAUGCACCAUGGCAUCUGGCUACCUUUUUACAUUCUGACAUAAAUAUUAUGCUUUUUUUAAGAAAUUUUCAAAUUUUCCUUAUUUAUCUAUGCACUAGAGUAUGUGUAACACAUGAGUAAUCUGUUCUUUUUUGUUUUUUGAGACAGGGUCUCACUAUGUAGUCCAUGCUGUCCUUGAAGUCUCUAUGUAGUCCAGGUUGGUUUCAUACUUGCAGAGAUCCUCCUGCCUCUGCCUCCUGUGUGCUAGGAUUAUAGAUGUUUGCCAUCAUACUCAGUGAGUUAAUGUUCUUUAGAUUUGAAAGGAUUUCCCAUGAAGUCUUCUUGGUACGGUGGUUUUGGUGGUAUUAACUUGUUGACAGUGUCCUCUAUGUUUUCUAACAAAUUCUUUCAUUUUAAUUUUAUUUUCUUCAAAAAUUAUCCACUGUCCAAUUUAUCCACAUGGAGUUCAGCAAAGAAGGCACUCAUCCUUUUGAUUUACUUUCCACUUAGCAUUAAUUUGAAUAUUUGUGUUUUCUUUUUUAACUAAUCUAAUAAUUACUAUAUGGUUCUUUAUUUGAAUAUGGGAAUUAGGAGGGUUAAACACCCUUUAAAACAAAAGGAAUCAAGUUUUGGGUCAGAAAUAUGUAUCUAAUGGCAAACAGACCCUUACCUCCUCAUAAAGACCUGGAAGAAUACACAGAAAAGAGUCAUCAUUGACACAACACCACCUUUCAUUGCCAGAGGCCCAGCAGGACUCAAAACACAUUCACACAUUUGGUCUCACUUGAUUCUAAUAAAAGCUGGGCAAUUAGCUUAACCACUGUAGGUCAUAUAAGAAAAAGACUUAAUCAAAGGAAACUUUUUGAUCUAGGAGAAAUAAGCAGAUCUAAUUCUAGCCAGAUUUCUGCCUUGUGGGGAUUCUGUGCCCACACCUAAUACUAAAAGUUGACUCAGGAGAUCAACUGAUUUAGCGUUCAAGGAGUAUCUGGAGCAUAUCAUGGGUGGACAGCUGCAGAGUGCAGAGGACUGUAGAGCUGUGAUCUCCACCAGGGACUUCUUAAUGCCCUAAGAGGAUAGCUACAACUUGACAAUGUUCUGUCUUCUUCAUCAGGGCUUUACCACCCUUUGAAUCAACAAACAUCAUUUCUGACGAACAACUAAUCCAAAAGCAAGUCUGACUGUAGACAUUAACACAAUGGCAAAGGUGGAAUCCAUGUCAGUACUUUCUGACCCUGGAGGAAAUGUGCCUCAGUAUCCUCUGCCUAGCAGUUCCAUUUCUCAGAAUUAUUCUGAGGAAACAGUCACAGGUUUACUCAAAGAUUCAUUUACAGUCACAAAAAACUGGACACAAACUACAAGUCUGCAGUUGAGAAACCAGUUCAAUAAUGGUGUUUCAUAGAACAGGAACCUGAAUAAUCAGCACAUGAAGGCUUCAGAGGACUAUUUAUUACAGAAGACAAAAGGUAUAGAUACAGUAACAAGUGGGGAAAAAGAUCAGAAAUACAGAUGUCAAAAUUUUAGCAAGGGUUAUAUCUGAGAGGCUGGAUUUUGGAUGUUUAUACUUUUCUUUGGGUUUUUAAAUAUAAUCAGAAAAAUGUUAAAAAUGAAACAAGAAAAAAACCAGUCUGACUGCUGUACUCAUAUGUCCUCCAGUGACCUGCCAACAGUGAAGUAUGGUAGAAACACUGGCUCUGAGAAGGCCUUCUAGUUUGCAGGCCAUCUCAGCCCUUUUCACAUGAGUCUCAAGUGUACACAAAGUUCUGGGAAGAACAACUCUCUUCUAUAUUUGGUUAGUCUUACUGGCCCAAGAAUUUGUGAAGACUUUAACUACAAAAGUGCUAACUAGUGAAAGGAGAGAGGAAGACCUCCCCAGACAAGGUCACAGAAAGCUUGGUGAAUGAAUGAGUACCCAGUGUCCAGCUGUGCUAUGCAGAGAGGUGUGAUUCUUCUCCGACCAUCUGCUGUCCGAGUCUCAACUUGUUUCUUCAAAAGAUUCUGGCAAAAUAGAGUCAAAUAAAUGAAUGGAAAAGUUUCUGCCAUGUUCAAAAAAACCCAAAAAAUUGCUUUUUUUUUUUUUUUUUUUUGUGAUAGGAGUAUUUAGUGUAACAUCUAUUCUUUUAGUAAAUAAAAUAUGCAAUAUAGUACUGCUAACUGCACGCACAGUGCUGUGCAGUAGAUCUCCAGGACUGACUAAGACUAUGCUUUGGCAGUACCUCCCCAUCUCCCCACAGUCCCUGGUACCCACCAUUCUCCUCUCUAUUCCGUGAGUCUCCCUGUUUGAGAUUCCUCAUUUAAGUGUUUUAGUAAAUUAUUUGUCCUGUGUCUGGCUUAUUCUUAAAUUGUGUAUAAUAUUAAGUGUAUCUAACUUUUUAAAAUGUCAGUUAUCCCUCAUUAUAAGCAAGUUGAGGUGGUUCACACCUAUAAUCCCAGAACUCGGGAGUCUGAGGCAGGAGGAUCACUGUGGGUUGAUAGCUGGGCAGGACUACACAGUGAGUUCAAGGCCAGCUUGAACUAUAUGGUGAGACCUUGUCUCAAAAAACAGUAACAACAACAACAAAACAGAAACAAAAUUAUAGCUCACUAUAGUGAGAUGAAAAAAACAAGAUUUCUAGAGGGAAAAAAUAAAGGGAGAGAAUGGGCAGAGAAGAAAGAAGGAUUGGACAAAGAGAAAACAGAGAGAAAGAGAAAGGCUCCUAAGAAGAUACAUUUUAACAUCCUUCUCUACAGUCCUUUUGAUACAAUAAAAUGAAGCCAGCUAAUCGAAGCUCAAGCAUUUUUAUCCAAGUAUGUGCUGAACUUCCUGUACAUUACAAAAGCAAAAAUAGAAAGCUACUAGCUGAACCAGCACCACACAUCUUCUGCUUUUACUACCAAUACCACAGACAUGGCUAGAUUCUUGGGGCUGCAAGCACAUGACAGGCUGGCUAAGUCCACCUGAUUGCCAUGGGGUUCAGUGAAGAAGUAAACGGUCAGAUCUGUAUCUAUAAGCAAUAUUUUUUCCCCUAAACUUGUGGUUUUCAAACUGACUUUUAUCAUAAGAGUACCUCCUUGCAAAAAAGGCUUGUAUCUAAGGGUUCUUAGUCAUAAUAUCUGUCUAAAUAACCCAGGGAAGGAUUGUCAAUUGACAAAGCACAGGAGAUGGGUUAAGUUCUCCAAGUAAGCUUGACAUUUCCUAACCUGCUCUUGUCCCCAUUUAUAAUCCCUUGCACCCACAAAUAAACAUGGGUUUCCAGAUGAAGAAGGGGAACUCACAAGUUUCCUAAAGGCAGAGCCUGAAAUUCACUGUUCUGAAAGACUAGAAUGUCUUAGAAAGGUAAGCCAGUAAAGGUCUGGCAGGUCCUGUAAGAGACUACUUUCUCUAGGGGUCCUUGGGAUAGAAGGCCUUUUAAAAAGGAGCUUUGCACCCCAUUAGUGUCUCAUGCAGUUGCAGGCAAUGGGACCAACUGGCCUUAAGCAAGCUAACUGCAGCUUGUACACAGGCUUAGUAUGUACCCUCUUUACUACAACUCAUGACUGUGGCUCCACUUCUGUACACAGUCCUAGCUGCCCUGUGCCCAUGUCCUCAGUGCUACUGAACCAAAGUCUUACCUUCCUGAUGUCUUCUAGGCUUUCCCCAUUAACAACCCCUGUUACUGAGGAAGCUGAGGCAGUCUCUCUGGCAGUGGCACUCUUUUGGUCCAGCUGCUGCUGUUGUUGCCUCCGUUGAUACUUGAGCAUCUCAGGGUUCUCAAUGACAGCAGUGGAGAGCUGAGCCUCGGUCAUAAUGGCCAGGCUCUUACCAUAGGUAGAUUGGUGAAUGCGGCUCUAUGGGAAGAUAGGAGAGGUUUGGCACAUGGGUCUGAGUAUUGCUGUGGCUCAUUAAUAGGUACACUGAGGGCUCUGAGUCUUAGGGUCUGGGAGGCCGGAUCUUGUUAUCUUCCACCUAACUCGUCUGUCCCCGACUAGGCAUUUCAGUCAGUCUUACAAUCUCAUUAGAUUUUAUUUAUUUAUUUAUUGCUUGAAUAAUUGUCUUUUUCAGACAGGGUUUUUCUUAUGCAAUUUAGACUGGCCUUGAACUCACGGUGAUUCUCCCGCCUCAGCCUCCUGAGUACUGGGAAUACAGGUGUGUGCAUCAUGCCCGGCCUCUCACUAGAUGUUUAUAGCCUCCUACGCAUCUAUAGCUGGGGAUGACAGUAAAACACCAACAAAAGAAUCCUGUUACUCUGUUUGGUACAGAUAGAAAGGGCAAUAAACACUUUUGCAACUGAAAUACAGACAUCUAAAUUGCUAACCUAAGGCUCUUAACUCAUUUCAAGGACCUUAAACACUAAGGGAACCAGAUCUUGGAAGCAAGAGUCUGCUUUUGCUGCUUUUGUCCUCAGACAUCAGCCACUAUGAUAGGAGGUCUCCACAGGAGUAAUGGUGUCUCUAAAACUAAGGGAGGCUUAGCACUGCACUCCAAAAGAUAGUCUUCUAUGUUUCCUUGUUUUUCCUAACUUUUCUGAUUCUUCUGAGCAGGGUCUCCUUCUCCUAGGACCUAUUAAUUCUUUGUCAUAAUAAGCUAGACAAGAGACCCACAAGAGCAGGGACAGUGUCCUCAGCACACCAAAGUGAUUGGUGCUUAUAAACGCACAACAGGAAAAAGGAUAAACCCAAGGAUACACAAAUGACUAGCAUUGCAUGCUGCGCAGGACAUAGGCUAUGGUUUUUUCUUUUCUUUUAUCUUUUUGAGGCAGGGUUUCACUACACAGUUCAGGCUGGCCUUGAACUCACUUUGUAGACCAAUCUGGCCUCAACCUAAAGAGUGUUGGGAUUAUAGGCAUAUGUCACUAUGUCUGGCGGGACUAUGGUUAAUGGGUAUCUGUCUCACACCAGGAGGUACUGCGUUGGGAGAAGCAGCUUUCCAGGAAGGAGGACUUGGGACUUGUGGCUACAGGUCUGAGUAUAGCCAGGGAUUUUCUUCCUUAGCUGUCUUCAUGUCUUGGUAUCUCCCAAGUCUGUCACCUUAAUUCAGAGACUGGCCAAGGUUUUCCUAGUGUGUACCUGGCAGUGAACUGGGAAAAUGGUAAGUUAAAAGCAGUUAUUAUACAGGCUCACGUAGUGACUCCUCCAGGGAAUUCACAUAGUGCCACGGUAACAGUAACAAAUGACAGCGAUAAGGUAGGACAAAAGACCUCAGGCCCAGUAAUUUAAGUGAAAUAAGUAUAAACACUAAGAAAUAUAUCACUGUUAUAACUGCUGCUAUCAAUAAGACAGUGGGAUAGGAAAAAUACCAUAAGCAGGGGUCCCUGGUGAGGGUGUCCUAGGGGCGAAAAUAUCCCUGCAGGUGGCCUAUUAUUAGCUCAAGAGAGGCAGAAGCCAAUUUCAUUCUUAAUUCCUGGACUUGUUUAUGACACUAAUACAGAUUAUUAAUCUAUUUGCAAAGGAUUAUAAUUUAUAAAAGACAAACCCCCUACAAUAUUUAAAGAAACAAGCUGGGUAUGGUGGCUUGUCUGUAAUUCCAGCAUUCUAAAGAAUGAGACAGAGGAAUCAUGAGUUAGUUCAAGGCCAGCCUGGGCCAUAUAUUGAGGACUUGCUUCAAAAGAGAGAGAGAGAGAGAGAGAGAGAGAAGGGAGAGGAGAGAAGACAGAAAAGAGAAGAGAGAAAAAGAAAGGAGAGAGAGAGAGAGAGAGAGAGAGAGAGAGAAAAUCAGAAAAUUUUAAAGAAACAAUGUAUAAAUACAUGUUCAUCCGAAAAGAAGAGGACCUAGUCAAAGGGAUCUCUCAGAACUAUCUAGUGAUUUCUGUGGGCAUAUAGCACACAACAGUACAUGAACCAGAAGCCUACCUUUUCUUCCUCACUUAGGGGGUCUCCAAGUUCAUCCUGGGAGAAGUCGAGGAAUGCCACAGAACCAUCCAUGGAACAAACCAGGAUGCCCAGUCCAUUCAGAGUCCUGAAAGAAACAGCUAUCAGGAGUAUGGAAGCCAACUGCCUGAACUGGAUAUUGUACCACAGGGGCGGACCUAUAGGAUGACUGGACAGUGUUUAGUUUCCUUCUGUGGCCUAAGAAUGGGGGCAAUCCUAGAGUCAUAUCCUAGUGUCCGUUAUAGGUGCAUGGACAAAAUAUCUCCUACUGUACAGUUUGGUAAGAACUUUUGUAUUUAUUUUUUAAAAAAUUUUGAGGAUGUGUAUCUAUUCUAAAGCUACAUGGUUUGUUUGAGAAGGCAUUUUCCUUUGGUAAAUCCUGGCCAGAGCAGGACAUUUUCACAACAGGAGGUGCAGAACUGCUGAAUGCUAGAUCAUAUGCAAACAGUAUAUUGAGAUCUACAUUCCCUGGGGAGCGUGUAGUAGACUCCCUGUCUUAACUGUAUUCAGAAGACCAUAUGACUUACUGUAGCCUAUGUACCUCUUCUAGUUUAGAUAUAAAAUGGACUCAAAGGACUCAUGAGUUUGGAAGGUGAAUGGAUUAUGGGGACACUACAGUUGUCUUGUUGCUAGGUGGGGCCUGGUCAGAAGGCACAGGUCAUCUGAGGUGUGACCUGGAAAGGUGUAUCUUCAGGAUAUGAGCAGCUUUUUUUGAUGGCAAGCCCUUCUACCAUACCAUUUUUGUGUUUGGGUUUGCAAACCAUGGACUUUUUUUGUAUUUUUGAAACAGGGUCUCACUAUGCAGUUCAAGCUGGUCUUGAGCUCACUUUGUAGCCCAGGCUGGUCUUCAAUUUGCUAUGAUCCUCCUGCCUCAGCCUCCUGAGUGCUGGGAUUACCUGCAUGUACCACUACAUCCGGCAACCAUGGACUUCUGAAACUUCAGUCAAAAUAAAUCUCUCUCCUCCUUUAA